CGGAUAAGGCCUCAGUCUCUUUCUCAUUUGGUUGCGGAAGUUUUAGCUUCUCGACCCGGGAGGGUAAGCGGCGGCCAGCGACUCAUGCUUUCAUGUCCAUCAGAGAAUGCCCACUGCUGGCGAGAUGGUCCACAGCCAGCUGGAAGGGACGAGGUGGCUGGUAAAUGUCAGCCAGCAUCUCUGCCCAGCCUCCCCGAUGAGGAUAUGAAAGUCCAGGGACAGAGCAGGCAACAUGAAGGUGUGAAGUCACCUGGGAUCCUUUUCCUAAAGGCUGGGUCCUGCUGCCGCUGGACACCUGGUCUGCAGGACCAAAGCUGAGCCUUCAACACUGCAUCUCCAAGAGACCAGCCAGCUACUGCUCUGGCGGCAGAUCAAGUACAUCAGAAUCCUUUGAAGGAAGUGAUCUGUACUUAACUGAAAUCGAUGCAGUUCCAGAUAUGGGCUUGCUUGGCCUGCCUUUGGGGCCAUCACCAGCACCACCAUCUGAGGGCUUCAGGCUGCCUGAUACAGUGACAUGGUCCCCCACACCACAUUGUCUCACCAAGGGACCCAUUUCUUGGCAAAACAGGUGGGACAAUGGGCAUCUGAUAGAAGGAUCCACCGGUCUUACCAGGGCAAGACAGUCAAAGGUUCAGACCCCUUGGGGAUGAAAGUCUGGAUGACCCCACCAGGAAAUAACCAGACCAGCUGCAGCUUUGGCCAAGGUCUCCAGAACUUCCCUUGGGCUGCCGUGGUUAAGAAUUCGCCUGCCAGCACAGGGAACACAGAUCUGAUCCCUGGUCAGGGAAGGUUCCACAUGCAGUGGAGCAACUAAGCCCACGUGCCACAAUUACUGAGCCUGCGUUCCAGAGUCCGGGAGCCGCAGCUGAAGCCCUCGCACCUGGAGCUUGUGCUCUGCAGCAAGAGAAGCCCCUGCAAUGAGAAACCCUCUCAUUGCAACGGAGAAUAGCUCCUGCUCGUCACAAGGAGAGAAAGCCCUUGCAGCCGUGAAGACCCAGUACAGCCAAAAAGAAAGAAAGAAAAAAAAGACAUUUAAAAAAAAGAUUUUAAAAAAGGUCUCCAGAAACGACCACUUUUCACAGCCUCCAUCACAAUGGUCGGGUCCAAGACAGUGUCCUCUCUUCCCUGGAACACUGCAGUUUCCUCCUGACCAGUCCCCCUGCUUCCAUCCUCACUCUCUGCCGUCUGCUCUCCCCACAG
ensembl:lncRNA